UCCCGUGUAGCUCAGUUGGUAGAGCAUGGUGCUUGCAACGCCAGGGUUGUGGGUUCGAUUCCCGCGGCGGACCAGUAUGAA